GAAGUGGAUAGUGGAAAUGUAUAUUUUUUUUUUUGAAAAUUACUCGAAGUUCGAUCGAUUAUUUGUUUUUGUUCUUUUCUAAAAAAUGUUGAUUUUAAUCUUGGUAUUAACAAUCAACUGAUACAGUAAAGUAAAUGAAAGUAGUAAAUUUAUUACAUAUUUUGAGAAUGGGGGUAAAGUUUAUCAAAUGGGAAUACAACAUAAUAAUUAAAUCAUACAAGCUUUGAAAGACAAUUGUAAAAUAAAGAAUCUCGUUGUAAGAAGGCCC
rnacentral:lncRNA from 1 species